CCUUCGAUAGCUCAGUUGGUAGAGUGGAGGACUGUAGUAGGAAAAUUGGCAAUCCUUAGGUCGCUGGUUCGACUCCGGCUCGAAGGA
rnacentral:tRNA from 1 species